rnacentral:rRNA from 1 species
UAGGCAAUUAUUCCUGGAAUGGUUUUUUGUUUAAAUGUUUUUUCGCCUAAGGAUGGGUCUGCGGCCGAUUAGGUAGUUGGUUAGGUAAUGGCUUACCAAGCCGUUGAUCGGUACGGGUUGUGAGAGCAAGAGCCCGGAGAUGGAACCUGAGACAAGGUUCCAGGCCCUACGGGGUGCAGCAGGCGCGAAACCUCCGCAAUGUGAGAAAUCGCGACGGGGGGAUCCCAAGUGCCAUUCUUAACGGGAUGGCUUUUCAUUAGUGUAAAGAGCUUUUGGAAUAAGAGCUGGGCAAGACCGGUGCCAGCCGCCGCGGUAACACCGGCAGCUCUAGUGGUAGCAAUUUUUAUUGGGCCUAAAGCGUCCGUAGCCGGUUUAAUAAGUCUCUGGUGAAAUCCUGUAGCUUAACUGUGGGAAUUGCUGGAGAUACUAUUAGACUUGAGACCGGGAGAGGUUAGAGGUACUCCCAGGGUAGAGGUGAAAUUCUGUAAUCCUGGGAGGACCGCCUGUUGCGAAGGCGUCUAACUGGAACGGUUCUGACGGUGAGGGACGAAAGUUAGGGGCGCGAACCGGAUUAGAUACCCGGGUAGUCCUAACUGUAAACGAUGCGGACUUGGUGUUGGGGUGGCUUUGAGCUGCUCCAGUGCCGAAGGGAAGCUGUUAAGUCCGCCGCCUGGGAAGUACGGUCGCAAGACUGAAACUUAA